rnacentral:rRNA from 1 species
AAUGAACGUUGGCGGCGUGGAUUAGGCAUGCAAGUCGCGCGACAAGGAACCUUCGGGUUCUGGAGGAGCGGCAAACGGGGUAGUAAGGCAUCGGAACGUACCCUCUUGUUGGGAAUAGCCGCGGGAAACUGCGAGUAAUGCCCAAUAAUCCCUACGGGGCAAAGGUCCGCCGCAGGAGGAGCGGCCGAUGUGAUACCAGCUAGUUGGUGAGGUAAUGGCUCACCAAGGCUUAGACGUCUAGGGGGUGUGAGAGCAUGGCCCCCACCACUGGACGUNAGAUACUGCCCACGACACCUACCGGGUGGGCUGCAGUCGAGAAAUCUUCGGCGAAUAGGGCGGCAAGACC